GCUGCUGUAGCUCAGUGGUAGAGCGCACCCUUGGUAAGGGUGAGGUCGGGGGUUCAAUCCUCCCCAGCAGCACCA
rnacentral:tRNA from 1 species